rnacentral:rRNA from 1 species
UGUUGGGUUAAGUCCCGCAACGAGCGCAACCCCUAUUGUUAGUUGCCAGCACAUUAUGGUGGGGACUCUAACAAGACUGCCUACGCAAGUAGAGAGGAAGGAGGGGACGACGUCAAGUCAUCAUGGCCCUUACGCCCAGGGCUACACACGUGCUACAAUGGUGCGCACAGAGGGCUGCAAACCCGCGAGGGGGAGCCAAUCUCACAAAACGCAUCGUAGUCCGGAUCGGAGUCUGCAACUCGACUCCGUGAAGUCGGAAUCGCUAGUAAUCGCGGAUCAGAAUGCCGCGGUGAAUACGUUCCCGGGCCUUGUACACACCGCCCGUCACACCAUGGGAGUUGGGUUUACCCGAAGGCAGUGCGCUAACCGUAAGGGGGCAGCUGACCACGGUAGGCUCAGCGACUGGGGUGAAGUCGUAACAAGGUAGCCCUAGGGGAACCUGGGGCUGGAUCACCUCCUU